ensembl:lncRNA
AAAAGAUAAAAAUAACUUUCACAAAGUUGAGGGCCUGAGUGCUGUGAAGGAGGACAGAAAGAAUUCUCUGCAGCACAGAAUUCCCCAAAUUUGAUUCAAUGUUGACUCUCCUUCUCUCUUAAUCUUUGGUAUCUCCUUCCUCUUUUUCUUGCUUCUGCCCUCCUCCACCUUCCCAAAGCCUCAGCAACUCAGACAAGUAAUUUCCCAAAGUAUAGGCCUGGAAAUUAAAGGUUGCAUUUCAGUACUAGUUAGUUACCUGGCAGUUAAAUGGAAUGAAUGCAUGAGUAAUGGUUUUUAAUUCAACUCUGAAGAAACAGUAUAAUAACCCAUCCUCACAAGGCUAUAUACAGCAUCCAGGAUUGCUCUUCUCCCCCAGGAAAGCUGGGAAAUUUGGAGUUCUGGGGAUGAUGGCUUUCCCUCUGCGUUAUUCGUCCUGCUGUACCUCUACUCAGCAGUUCAGAUAUGGCUGAUGACCUGCUGGUCUUGGAACUGUCUUCUUGCCAAGGUAACAGUUAGAUCUGGGAAGAGAGGUUGGCUGAUGCCGCUAAUGGUAUUCUCAAAUCCCUCAGACUCAACUUUCUGUGGAGACGAAGUGCCAACAUCUGGUGGUGGCCAACAUCUGGAGGAAGCGAAGGUAGAAGCUGGCUGUAUGUACACCUACUGGGUGUGAGUCAAGGCCUGACAGAAAGGCUCAAAGUGUCCCCCAACCCUUGUCUUUCUGAAAGUCCACUAAAAGUAUAAUAUGGGGGGGAGGGGGCAGAGCCAAGAUGGCGGAGUAAAAACAGUGAUUUGCUUGAGCUCUCCCCAAAACCCCUCCAAUCACCUAUAAAAAAUGGCUCUAAACAAAUUCUAAAGCAGCAGAAUCCACAAAAAGAAAGAGUCAAACAAAUUUCCAGCCAAAGACAGCCUAGAUGGUUGAUCAGAAAGGUAUAUCGUACCAGUCUAGGAGAGGAACACAGUUCAGCGUGGGCACACAAGCCGCAGGGAACCUGGAGCAGCCUUCAGAGGACUGAAUCGCAGGCAGCUGUAGUGGUUUUCAGACUUCUCAAUCCACAAAUGCCAAAGACAACCUAGAAGGUCAGUGGGAAAGUCUGUUUCUGCAGUGGUGAGAGAGGAGCCUGCGGUCUCAGCUCCAGUUCCCAAGAACGUGGCCCCCAGGGUGGCAGCUGCCUCCUGAACUUCCAGCCCACAUACUGAAGGGGAAUCAAGUGGCUGAUCAGAGGGGGAUUGCAGGGAUGUCUUUGCCAGUGCUGAGGCAGGAAUCUCUUGCUUUGCCCAUGCUUGGAUCUGGGUCACAGUUCUGGGUGGUGGUCCUGGGGUGAGGAGGAGCACUGGUGUGGUUAAGCUUGUAGUGGCUGUGAAGAGAAAACCCUCACAGUUCCACAACAGGAAAGAAUGCUUGUGGUCACUCAUAGACCAGAGCACAGGCCAGGAAAGGAGUAAAUACUUCGCCCUUGAUCAUAGCACCUUGGAAGAACUGAAAAUUUACAGGUCCCUAGAAGUAUCUUUGAAAACAGCUGCACAAAACCCCAGAAGCUUGGAACAGUACAUUCUCCACAUUGGAAGCAGACCUCUACCUUAAAACAAAGUUUAAAACUCAAGUAAUUGGCUGGGAACAUGAGCAAACCUCACAAAAAGAGUCAGACUGUAUUAUCUUACUUUGGUGACAA